AUGGUCACGCCGACGCGCCACUCCCGCACGACGAGCCGCCGGUUGGUGAUCUGGUCAGUGAGCAGAGGGAAGCACAGCAUGGGCACUCCCGCCCACACGCUCUCCAGCACGGAGUUCCACCCGCAGUGCGUCAGGAAUCCACCCACCGCGGCGUGGGAGAGCACCUCCACCUGGCAGCACCACGGCACCACCAGCCCGCGCCCGGCGGACGCCGCCGCGAACCCCUCGGGCAGCGGGUCCGGGUCGUCGGAGCUCACGAUGCCCGGCCGCAUCACCCACAGGAACCUCGCGCCGCUGGCCAGGACUCCCCGGGCGAUCUCGCGCAGCUCCUGCCUGGUGACGUGCGCGUAG
rnacentral:rRNA from 1 species